ACCCACGACAUUUGCUGAAGCCAUAAAUUACCUUCAGAAUCAGAGAGCUGGUACCAUUUUAGUAGGUUCGUGGCCUGCCUGAAAACUAUGACCUUGGAGCAUCAUUUACUCAAAAUGCUAAUCCAAAAACAGGACAUCAAAACUAGUCAUCCUUCACCUCAUGGAAAUGAAUACCCCAAGGUAAUAUGGUGUUAUUAUUAUUAUUUCUUGAUUGGCAUAUAGAUGUUGUGAGGGUGGAUCUUACACCCAUGCUGUAUCCUUCCUGUCUCUCCUUUCCAUUCUGUAGGUUUCCUCUGGUCACUUUCCACACAUCCUCAUUUGGCCCCUGCUCAUGAGCAAGUUGAUUUAGGAGAUGGUGCCUGGCAGUUCCUCCUCUGAUUAUCCAGGGAAGACAGAAAAAGAGGAAAACAGGAGACAAGAAGUAAAGCUUAGAACAGAGAGGUAACCAUUAACCAGUAAGGGCUAAUAGAUGAGUCCAGAGAAAAGAUAACAAAGGAGGCAAGGAGAGCAUGGUAAGCCAUGGUAGGGGUGAGGGAAAGAUAUUGAAGAUUGAACUCCACCAGUGUGGGAUAAUGUUUGUAUGUGGACUGUGUUGUGUCUCAGGUUCAGGUUGUUUAAGCAGCCUAGUGACCCAGAUGGUCCCCUCCUUAGUGUCUGGUUUUGUCAGGUUGUAACUUGGCUUUUUCAGUUCCCUAAUAUCUCACAUUAUCUCCUCUUCCUCCUAGGCCUUAAUCAUGUCUUACUUUUUUACCUCCCAAUUGGUUGAUAUUGAAUUCUUAUUAAAUAAAAAUGUACUCUUUACUCUUGAGUUAAAAUUCUGAUGGGGGAAGAAUGUAUACACAGAAAUAAUGUCACAACUAUUUAUGUUAAUUAAAGGAAAUACAGAGCAAGGUCAACUGAGAUAUUCCGGAGAAGGGAGUUUCCUUAGGGUAUUGCCGCAUGGACAUACGUGCUCACUGUGGCACAGAAACACCUGCAGAUUUUUCUUUCACGUAAGACUCAGAGGCAAAGUUACUGUAAUCAAGAAUAUGUUGUUAAGAAGGCCUGGUAUUAAUACUGUCAUUGGUAAGCAUUUUGUAACUUAUAUAAAGCAGACCUUGGGUUUUCAGGACACUUCAUCUGCUAAUUGUCAACAAAAUACAGCUGAGGUUGCAAUGUGUCAGCAAGAAUGUCAAGGAGGAAGUCAGAGGGUCAAAUCAGCUGGGGCUUGGCCCAUUUACCCUAGGUGGUGUUCUUAAAGACUCAGUGGUUCAUUCUGCUUGGCAGCUUAAAGAGCCAUUGAGGUUCAGAACUAAAAAUGUGUGGGCCAGGAAGAGGGCAGUGAAUGACUGGGACCAACUUGCCAGUGUCUCCCAGGGGCACCGGCUCAGAUAACUGGAAGUCUGGAAGCUUUCUCAUACGCAGCCAGUCCCGUAAGCAGCUCUUGGCAAGACUAAAAAAAA
rnacentral:lncRNA from 10 species